GCCCCAGUCGGAUCACAGCCGCCUUGGUGUUGUCGCCAAAGCCCAGCCCAUCACAGAAGCCAGCCCCCACGGCCACUAUAUUCUAUAACGAGUGGAGUCGUGCCUGGGUGCUCCCCCAGGGCAUCUCUUCCCCCUGGACCAGCCCUUGGAGCCAGGGACAGGGAUGCCCCACAAAGCGCUAUAGGGGAAAGGAAGAAGGAAGCCCAAUGUCUGAUGUGCAGCCAAAGCUUGCUGUGAGGAGAGCAGAUAGCACAUGAAAAUGAAUCCAUCUGAAAACUCUCCUUCCACAGCCUACUUCUCCAAGGAACAAAAUGAUAUCUACUACAGAGCCAGCCUCCCACAGAUCGCUGC